rnacentral:rRNA from 1 species
GAAGGUAACAGCCCUGUAGUCGAAAUGCGACUGACUUCCACGGGAUUCCCCAAGUACCGCAGGACACGUGAAAUCCGGCGGGAAUCCGGGAGGACCAUCUUCCAAGGCUAAAUACUACCCAGCGACCGAUAGUGAACAAGUACCGUGAGGGAAAGGUGAAAAGAACCCCUGCUAGGGGAGUGAAAUAGUACCUGAAACCGUGUCGCCUACAAGCAGUGGGAGCACUAUGGCCUUCGGGCAAUGUGCGACCGCGUACCUUUUGCAUCAUGACCCUGCUAGUUACGCUCCGUGGCAAGGUUAAGCCGCGAGGUGAAGCCGCAGACAAAGCGAGUCCGAAUAGGGCGCUCAGUCGCGGGGCGUAGACCCGAAACCAGGUGAUCUAUCCAUGGCCAGGGUGAAGCGUGGGUAAUACCACGUGGAGGCCCGAACUCACUUAGGUUGAAAACUAAGGGGAUGAGCUGUGGAUGGGAGUGAAAGGCUAAUCAAACCUGGAGAUAGCUGGUUCUCCCCGAAACAUAUUGAGGUAUGGCCUCGUGCGGUCCGCACCGGAGGUAGAGCACUGGAUGGGCUAGGGGUCCUACCAGAUUACCAAACCCAACCAAACUCCGAAUGCCGGUGACAGCAGCACGGGAGACAGACGGCGGGUGAUAAGAUCCGUCGUCGAGAGGGAAAGAGCCCAGACCGCCAGCCAAGGCCCCAAAAUCAAUGCUCAGUGGUAAAGGAAGUGAAAACGCUCAGACAACCAGGAGGUUGGCUUAGAAGCAGCCAUCCUUCAAAGAAAGCGUAACAGCUCACUGGUCAAGCGGUUUCGCGCCGAAAAUCCAACGGGGCUAAGCAUUGUGCCGAAGCUGCGGAUGGCCUCGCAAGAGGCCGUGGUAGGGGAGCAUUCUCAGGCAGACACAUGCCGUAUCGUGAGAAGCGGUUCAGGGCCUGAGAAGAGAUAAUGCAGGGAUAAGUAGCGAUAAAGGGGGUGAGAAACCCCCUCGCCGUAAGCCAAAGGAUUCCUGGGGAAGGAUCAUCCUCCCAUGGGUUAGUCGGUACCUAAGUCGAGGCCGAAAGGCGUAGAUGAUGGGUAGCAGGCUAAUAUUCCUGCACCACCUCGGUGCGCCAGCUUGAGAGGGGACGGAGAAGGGUAGGCUCGUGCCGGCGGGUUGUUGAGCCGGCUCAAACCUGUAGAGGGGCGUUUCAGGACCCGAAAGGGACAAACGGAGCGCCAUUCAACCUCGAGAGGUGAUGAGGUGGCCGUAUGGCC